rnacentral:tRNA from 1 species
AGGAGUUUAGGUUAAACAGACCAAGAGCCUUCAAAGCC